UUAGGAAUUUUGCGCAAUGGGCGAAAGCCUGACGCAGCAACGCCGCGUGAGGGAAGACGGCUUUCGGGUUGUAAACCUCUUUUAGCAGGGACGAACACAAUGACGGUACCUGCAGAAAAAGCACCGGCUAACUACGUGCCAGCAGCCGCGGUAAUACGUAGGGUGCAAGCGUUAUUCGGAUUUAUUGGGCGUAAAGCAUAUGUAGGCGGUUCGGUAAGUCUGGUGUGAAAGCCCUCGACUCAAUCGAGGAAGUGCAUUGGGUACUGUCAGACUUGAGUAAAGGAGGGGUGUGAGGAACUCCAGGUGUAGAGGUGAAAUUCGUAGAUAUCUGGAGGAACAACAGCGGCGAAGGCGGCUCACUGGACUGUAACUGACGCUCAGAUGCGAGAGUGUGGGGAGCAAACAG
rnacentral:rRNA from 1 species